rnacentral:lncRNA from 1 species
CCCGUAUCCAGAGAUGAUUUAUUUCAUUUCAUUAAAUCAGCCAUUUCCAAUGAACAACAACAAACAGACCCAUUUUACGUGCUGGAUUUGGGUGCAAUCAGGUCCCUGGUGGAGACAUGGUUCGAUAAUCUUCCAGUGGUUCAACCUUUCUAUGCUGUCAAAUGCAACCCUAACCCUGCUUUCCUCAAAGAAAUGGCAGCUCUCGGCACCGGCUUCGACUGUGCAAGCCUUCCUGAGAUUGAAACCAUUUUGUCCCUUGGGGUUUCGCCUGAUCGAAUCGUUUUCGCAAACACAUGUAAACCCGAGUCUCACAUCAAGUAUGCAGCUAAAUUUGGCGUUAACUUAACCACUUUCGACUCCAACUGUGAGCUCGAAAAGAUCAAAAAGUGGCACCCGAAAUGUGCACUGUUGAUCCGAAUCAAAGUCCCGGAAACCAGUGGUGCAACAUUCAAGUUCGGUUCCAAGUUCGGUGCACUCCCUGAGGAAAUUGUUCCGCUUCUGAAAGCAGCUCAAGAGGCAAAGCUCCAAGUCGUUGGCGUCUCAUUUCAUAUUGGGAGCAGAGCAAUUAACUUCCAUGCAUUCGAAGAUGCCAUUGGAGCAGCCAAAACAACGUUCGACACUGCAGCUCAACUUGGGCUACCUAAAAUGCAUAUCUUAGACAUCGGUGGAGGCUUCACAUCAGGUCCAAAGUUUACCGAUGCAGCCUCCGCCGUGAAAGUUGCUUUACAAAAAUAUUUCCCCGAUGAGCUAGCUGAUGGUAACUUAAAAAUCAUUGCGGAACCUGGUCGCUUCUUUGCUAAUUCGCCAUUUACAUUAACAACAAGCGUAAUAGGGAAACGAGAAAGGGCGGAGGUUAAGGAGUACUGGAUUAGCGAUGGGAUUUCGGGGUCGAUGAAUUUUUUGAAGUACGAUCACGAUGAAGUGAUUUGCACUCCUCUCAUCAUGAAAAACCCCACAUGCAAAGAAUUGAAAACAUGGAGUUCCACUGUUUUUGGACCGACAUGCGAUGCAGCUGAUACGGUUUUGAAGGGUUUUGAAUUGCCAGAAUUGGACGUGAAUGAUUGGCUGGUCUUUCACAACAUGGGUGCUUAUACUUCAUCCCGUGGGAAUGAUUUCAACGGGUUCAAAACUUCGGCCAUUCCAACUAUUGCCUAUGAAAAUUAAUGGUCGCCAUAUGGUCACCCUUAGAAGAAGCAAACAAAUGUGUUUUCCUCGUGGUGUUUAAAUUUUCAAAUGGUUGUUUUUGUUGUUUUCUGAUGAGUGGUCUGUUUUCUUUUGUUAAUGUGAUGCUCUGAUUGCUAUGUUUGUGAGCCUCAUGUUUAUAAUAAAACUUUUAUUUGCUGAAGAAAAUAGCUUGUGAAAUUAUGCUGUUGCAGUCCACUUCAUGGAUAAUUUAGUUUCCUUUGAGCUGGUGAUUGGACAUUGCACAGUGGAACGCCAACUCCUUUGAGCAGCGGUGCUGGACAUUGCUUCAAAGUAGUGUAAUUAAAAACUGUUUUAGAAGACAAGGAGCUUAGAUCAUAUUCAGAGAGCAUUGCUUGUAUAGUGAUAAAAAAAAUAAAACCAUAUAUACACACCAUAUAGCUGACAGAUAUUGUACAGAAAUGUCAGUUGGAUGAAACUUUCCCAAUGUAAAAAAUCUCAAAUUUUCUUUCUAAAGUUCACACAUUGGUAUAUAUAUUAAAUUUUAUCACAACAAAAAAAAAUUGUAUAUUAAAAUAUUUAAUGAUAGAUAUCAAUGGCGAAGCCAACAAAUUUUUUUUGGGACCGAAAUUAAAUUGUAUAUUUUUACGAUAGUAAAAUGUAAUUUCACCGUUUCAAUAAUCUAUAUCUUUAUAAUUUUUAAAAGACUAAAUCAAAUUUUCAUUAUUUUUUGGGGGCAAAGUGGCACUUUUACUAUUAUUAAUUUAAAUUUUUAUAAAUUAUAAAAGGCGUAAAUAAAAAAAAUUUCAUUUUAGGGGGUCGGGUCACUGCCAACCCUUGGUGAUAAUGAAUUUACAUUUUAAUACUAUUAAACAUGUACUUUAAAUUUAUAAUUCUAAAUUCUUUUAUUUAAAGAUAGUAUAAAAAAAUUAUGAAAAGAAAAAAGUAACUUCAAAUAAUAACCAAACCCUCCUCUUUUUCAAAAGUCAGUCAACAUCUUUAUUUCCCUCUUUAUGUAGGAACCACGGUCCAAUCUUUUUUAAGAGUUGAUGAAUCUGCAUAAUCAGAACAAAGUUUGAGAAUAUCUUAAAUAACCUUCGUAACAUGUGAAUCAACAGACUCUGCAGAAUGUUCAGACUAUCAAAUAUUCCUCAUAAUUCGACAUAUAAAAUUGAGCACUUCUCCAAGCAGCCUAAAAUCUACUUUCCUUCGCCCUUACCGGUUGCCAAUGCCACAUAUUACUUAGCCUAACUGUAAGUGGAUAAAUAAUUCCUCCUAUUUUUAAAAUAAAAAUAAGUGGUGAUCGCUAGUCUGAAAUAUGGCUUCUUUCCUUUUCCACCAUAAUAAUUAUAACAAUAAUUGGGGAAAUGAUGCCCUUUACAGUAAGAUUCAGCAAUCAAGUCCUAUUUUUAAAAUAAUACUAACAACUGGGCUACUGACAUGGGAUACUAAAAUCUGGAUUUUUUACCUAAAUAUAUUAAAAAAAUUUAAAUACGUAAAUAGGCUAAAUUAAUUACUAAAAAGCUAUUUUUUUAAUUGUACCUGUUUGAUAGGCAUGAAUCAAUUUUUUAUAUUAAAAUUUUCUUAAUCGCGCCUAUCUUCAGGUGCGAAACAAUUUUCUAUAUUAAAUUUUUUUCGUUUAAUAAAAAAUAUUAAUUUUUUCCCGGAUCAAUAUAUAACCCGAGUAUAGAUACGAAAUAUUAUUAAUCCGUAUGUUUUUAUGUUUAGAUAGUGGGUCUUUUACAAAAAUAAUACAAAAAAAUAAAAAAAUUAAAAUAAUAUAUAUAUUUUUAUUUACCAAAAUGAUACAAAAAAACGAAACAGUAGAAAAUGGGAUGCCACAGGCGGCACCACUUGUAUUAUAAGUCCAGCAUUCGUCCAGCUGAAGGAGAAGAAGAAGGAGGAGGAGGAGGUGGUGCCGAAAAAAGAGAGAAAGAGAAGAAAAAAAUAGAAAAAUAAGGUAUUUUUUUUAAAAAAAAUGGAUUAUCUUGUUAUUAUGUUUUUUUGUAUAAUUUUUAUUAUUUUUUGUUGUUAGUUUAGUUAUUAUUGUUAGUUAUUAAGAUUAAUAAAAACUCAAAUUGAUGAUUUUAGUUAGUAUUAUUAUUGUUAGUUUUUAUAGGGUUUAGUUAUUAAUAUUAUUUUUACUUAGUAUUAUUGUUAGUAAAAAACUAAUAUUAUUAUUAUGAUUAGUUAUUAGGAUUAGUAAAAACCCUAAUUAUUAUUUUAGUUAGUAUGAUUGUUAGUUUUUACAUUAUAUUAUUGUUAGUUAUUAUUUUUAGUAAAACCCUAAUUAUUAUUGUUAGUUAGUAUUAUUUUGAGUAAAAAACUAUUAUUAUUGUUAUUGUGUUAGUUAUUAGGAUUAGUGGUUAAACGUUGUUCAUGUACAAAAUGAUAACUGAAAAAGUAUGAGCUUAAGAAUGAAAAAAUUGCAUAUUGAAACAUUACUUUUCUUUAUUUAAGUAAAUUAUUUACUGUUCGAGAGUGUUUUUUGAGAUUUUGUUUUGAAUAUUGAAGAUGGAUGAUAAGUUUUUUAUAUGCGUUUAUUUCGAUGGAACCAUCUUGACAACAACUGUUGGAUGUAUAUUUGAAUGUCGGCAACAAAUAGCAAUGAGAUUUAAUAGAAAUGUCUCGUUGGAUGAUAUGAAGGGAAUGAUUAAUGUAAAAAUUGUUAGACGUUGUGGGAGAAGGAUAUCAAAAAUUUUCUACAAGUUUCCAGUUUCGACAAAUCCGAUCAAAUUCACCGAAAUGGAACUUGUAAACGACAAAGACGAGGAGACAAUGAUCGCUCUUUACUGUGGGAAUGGGAGUGACAAGAAUGCACCGAUUCACUUCUUUGCUGAGUUAGCCGGUAUGGAGCAAAAUGAAGAUGUCAAUGCAUAUGGUGAAGAACACGGAGCUCAAGAACCGUGGAUGGUGGCUCCAAUAUCGUACGUUGAUAGUGAAUCGACUAUAGGUGGGAUCGGUAUCGAUCUGAAUAUUACACCCGAUAUUGAUGUGGUUGGUGGUGAAGAAGGAGGUGGUAGCGAUCAUUGUGAUGAAGAGGUCGAUAGUGACGGUGAUCCUAAUAUGGACGAUAUACCUGAUGAUAUUGACGAUGAAAGCAGUAAUAACGAUGAAAAUGUUAACGCUUCUUCGAUCGGGAACCAGAUGUGAUGCAUUUUGAUACACAAUAAUCCUGGGCCACACAUGUCGCUCAUAGACCCCGACGCAGCGUAUGUAGCUGAGUUCCCGGAGUACCUUGAAAUAGUUUAUCCUCACCAGUUGUCCGUAAAUUCUGAUCAUGAGGAGUUAUUCGUAGGCCAGAGAUUCGAAAGUAAAAAAGAGUGCGUACUUGCUAUUAAACGGUAUUGCAUGAACAUAUCAGUGGAUUAUAAAGUCACACUGUCUAAUCCGACAAUAUAUAUUGGGGAGUGUUGGAAGGCAGUGAAAGGCUGCAAUUGGCGGGUACGAGCUGCAUUCAUUAAAAGUUCGCAGAUGUAGGAGAUACGAAAAUUUGUUGGUCCUCAUACAUGCACAUCAACACGUAUGACAGAAGAUCAUGGAAAACUUGAUUCGAAAACUAUCUGUAUGUGUAUCAUGCCAAUGGUGAAGGACAUGCCAACCAUUAAAGUUUCUGUACUGAUUGCCAAAAUGCAAGCACGAUUCCAAUAUCGAGUAUCAUAUCGAAAGGCGUGGAUAGCUAAACAGAUGGUAAUGGAGCAAUUGUAUGGGGAUUAUGAUUCGUCGUAUAACGAGCUACAAGAAUGAAUAGCUGCUAUGCGGGAGUAUGUACCGGGGACUGUGAUUGAGUUAUAGACAAGAUCUUAUUAUGGCUCGAACGACCAGUUACAGUCGGGAAAAAAGAUUUUCCAUCGGAUGUUCUGGAUGUUUGAUCCAUGUAUGCGGGCAUUUCCCUACUGCAAGCCAUUUGUGCAGGUGGAUGGGACCUGGCUAUAUGGAAAAUAUACACAGAUCCUACUUCUUGCGGUUGCUCAAGACGGAAAUAGAAAAGUGCUUUCGAUAGCAUUUGCCAUCGUAAAUAAAGAGAACUUGGAAUCUUGGGAAUUCUUCCUCACUAACCUGGGGAGGUAUGUUAUUAGCAACGAUAAUAUUUGCAUUAUUUCCGAUAGAGGGAAAUGUUUAAUUGCAGCAAUUAGGCGUUUCGGUGUGCCAUGGAGAUUCGUUUACUGCAUCCGUCACAUUGCAUCUAACUUCCAUAAAUAUUAUAAGAAUGCAGACUGGAAGAGACAAGUCGUGGCAAUGGGUAAAUGAUAACCUUAUCUUUUCAAUAUAAGUUGUAAUGUUUUAUGUUAUCAAGUUACUGGAACUUAUCUUUUCUUAAUACGUAUACAACGUACGAGUUAGAGCCACAUAUUUUUCGCCAAAGAAUGAUUCGACUUGAGAGUGACAUGGAGGGGCAAACAAACACAUCUUUUCGACAAUGGUUGGGUACAAUGGAGCCGCGGCAAUGGGCUCAAAGUUUUGACGAGGGCUUUUGUUAUGGUCAAAUGACCACAAACUUAGUGGAAGGGGUCAACGCUGUGUUGUUAAAAACACGUCAUCCUCCGAUUGCAUUUGUCUUCUCUGCUACAUUCUACAGGUUGGCUACUUUGAUGCCAAGAAUGGGUCAGCAACAAGUCGACCAGAUGGAGGCGGGAUACGUGUUUGUCGAAGAUGUCAGGGAUGCAAUGGUUGCAAACCGUCGGAUGGCGAGGUCGAUGAAUGUAGAAAUAUAUUCACGACGUCUGGAAACGUUUCGAGUUAGUGAGACCAUCGGUCGUCGACCCGGUAUACCACCUAGAUCCUAUGGAGUUGAUAUCCGGAACAAACGGUGCGAGUGUAGGAGGUUCGAAACACUUCAUUAUCCACGUGCACAUGUCGUGGCAACGUGUGCUAAAGUGAACCUUAAUGUUGAACAAUAUGUCGAUGAUGUGUACAUGCUCGAGCGCACAUUGCGUGUCUAGGAAAAUGAGUUCCCCGUCCUGCCUGACCUGUCUACGUGGGAGGUGCCUCCGACGACUUUCGUGUUUCUCUCAGACAGAGGGCUACGUAGGAAUCCAUUCACCCAGCCCCUUAUUACUCAGUACGAGCCCUGAUAGUGUUAAACGUGGAGAAAAAAAAUUAGGAUAACAUGAUUUAUUUCUAUAUAUUACGUAUAUCAUUUUUUAAUAGAACCCGUGAUUAACAAAUAAUAAUAUAUUACCAUGUUAUUAGCCGCAUCAGAUAUGUGAGUAUCACUGUUAAUCAAUGAAGCCAUUGUGAUGCAUGCAACUUCAAAAAAAAAUUAGUAAAAAACCCUUAUUUUGACCAUUUGUUCGUAUUUUUUCCCCGGAUUUUAUUACUUUAAAAAAAUACUAUUUUAUAAUUUUAUUAUUUUACAUUAUUUUAGUACAUUAUGUUUGAAAUUCAUUAAUUUAGUGUGUUUUUUAAAUAAAUUUAGAAAAAUAACCCUUAUUUUGGCCCUUUGCUCGUAUUUUUUUCCUGGAUUUAAUUACUUUCAAUAAAAAUAUAUUAUUUUUUUUAUUUUUUUAUUUUAUUUUAUUUUAGUACAUUAUGUUUGAAAUAGAUUAAUUAAUUCUGUUUUUUAAAAAUAUUUAGUAAAAAAUCCUUAUUUCGCCCCUUUGUUCGUAUUUUCUCCUCGGAUUUUAUUACUUUAAAAAAAUAUACUAUUUUUUAAUUUUAUUAUUUUACAUUAUUUUAGUACAUUAUGUUUGAAAUUUAUUAAUUUAGUGUGGUUUUAAAUAAAUUUAAUAAAAAACCCUUAUUUCGGUCAUUUGCUCGUAUUUUUUCCCGAAUUUUAUUACUGUCAAUAAAAAUAUAUUAUUUUCGUAUUUUAUUAUUUUACAUUAUUUUAGGUUUUUUGUGGCGCUUUCUCCAAAGCGCCGCUAAUGCUUAUUUUCAGCAGCGUUUUCCGUAAUGCGCCGCUAAUGAUCGAUCGUUAGCGGCGUUUUUUAUCUAAACGCCACUAAAAGCCUGUUUUGGUGUAGUGUUACAUAACUUACAUAAAUUAAAUAACUUACUUAACUUAAAUAACUUACAUAAUACAUAACCUUCUUAACUUACAUUAUACACAACUUACAUAAUUAAUAUUAUACACAACUUACAUAAUGCAUUACUUACAUAACUUACAUUACUUACAGUACUUUACUUACAGUACUUACAUAAUACAUAAUACAUAAUACAUAACUUACAUAACUUACAUAAUACAUAAAAAUAUAUCAUAUCAUAACUUACAUAACUCAUUUAUGGUUAUAACUGGCGUUUUCACUUACCCGUGCAAAUUAUUGUCAACGUCAGACUUCAAGAAUUAAGAAAUGGACCGGUCUUGGAUGAACUUGUCAAGGGUUAUCAAAAUGGAGUGGGAAGAACGUAAACGAUGAAGUUAAAUGGCUCUCUCAAGGUCCAAAUCGAGUGGUUAAAAGAUAUAGUGCGUUCCUCAUCAAAGGAUUCAGAUUUCAUACAAAAUAUCGCGAGAGGUUGAGGAGAACGCAAAAUUGGGGAAUAGUUGUUAAUUCCUCAAUUACAAGUUAUGCUAGUGCUAGGGACAAUAAUCCUGUCGAGGGAAAUGUGGAAUAUUUCAGACUUCUUACUGACAUAAUUGAGUUGGAUUACUACGACAAAUGGAAAGUUGUCUUAUUUUGAGGUGAUUGUACUGCUCGUGGAAUUAAGCAAGAUCAAUUUGGUUUUCCAAUGGUGAACUUCGCUCGAUUGAUUCACACAGGACAACAACUGAUAGAUGAGCCGUAUGUAUUCUCAUCUCAAGUCAAACAAGUUUUUUACUCAAAAGAUCCAACUGAAGAGGGUUGGUACGUUGUACUCCGUAACAUCCCUAGAGACUUGUUUGACAUGGGCAGUGGAAGUAGAGAUAACAUCGACGACAGAUCAGAAACUUUGCCCUUUCCAGAACAAAACUUAAAUGAUAAUAUCCCUAGUACUAGUACACAAUUUCAAUGGGUUCGUCAGGAUACGGAUGAAGAUAUUUACGAAUAAUGACAUAGUAAGAUUUUACGAUUGUUUAAUUAUAUGUAAUAUCAUAAUUUAAAUCUUGGUCUUAUUAUAUAUUUCAACUAUUUUAUAUGUGUUGUUAUUGUUGUAAAUAGUUAUUAAGUUUUCAACUAUUUUAUGUGUAUUGCAGAUAAAAUGCCUAGAAGAAAAAUUCCAAGGGGAAGCAUUGUUCAAAAUGAUCCAAACUCGACAGAAACAAAUAGUUUUGAACAACAGACAGUAAUUGAAUCUUUGAAUGUUCCGAUUACACCUGAGGAUCCUACAGAAGUUCAAAGUAAUUUUACAUUUAAUUUACAUGUGCGUUGACUUAUAAUUGAUUUAUUUUUCAAAUUCUUAUAUUAUAAUAUAUCAUUUGCAGCUGAAAAUGGUGGGACGCGCAGAGGUCGAGGACGUACGCUACUUAGAGAUUUAUACGAGUUAGAUCCAGUCGAGCGUGUCAAGGUAUGCAGAAACAGUUUUGGUCAGCCUGUUGGAUCAGAAGCUCGACUUUUAGCAGGAUACAUGGGCAUUUUAGCACGAAAUGCGAAUAUGUUGCCUAUCAACUACGAGUCAUGGCAUCAAAUUCCCGAUAGCAACAAAAACCAAGCCUUCGAUAAUAUUAAGGUAACAAAAUGUUAAUGUCAUCUGUAAUGCUUGGGAAAUAGUUUGAUUUAUAUUUACUUUAUUAACUUGUGUUUUUUGUUUUUUGUAGGCGAGGUUUGCUUUAGAGGUCUCGGAUGCUUAUGUAAAGAAGGCAUUGGGAAAAAGAUGAAGAGACCAUAAAAGUACUUUGAAGAAAUAUUAUUAUAAGACAAAAACAACCCUCAAUGAGAAAUUGCAAAAUGUCCCGCCGGGUAUGCUAAGGUACCAAUGGGAAGAUACGGUUAGAUUUUGGCAUUCGAAGAAAGGCGAGGUAUGACGUACAUCCAAACUAUUGUAAUUAUUUUGGUUUAUAGUAUUUACUAUUUACGUACUAAAAAUUUCAUAACGUAGGAUCGUGAACGAGUUUGAAAAGCAGCAGGCAAAAACAAAAAUUCACUCACACAGCCGGGUCGAGAAGUUUUGCAUGUAUAGCUGAUGCGGAGGUAUUUUUAAUUUUUUAAUAUUGUCAAAUAUGUAUAACUUUCCAUUAAAUAAUAUUUUUACUACUAUAUUGUAGGAACGAUCGUCCGGUCAAAAAGUUGGACGCCUUCAACUUUUUGAAAUUACACAUAGGAAGAAAGAUGGAUCUGCUAUGACUCCUGAAGCUGGUGAAAUUAUGGUACGUUUACUUAAUACGAUUUGACUUGUUUUAGAUAUGUAUAGUGUUUAUUUUCUAAUGGUUUAAUUCAUUGCUUGUAAUGCGACUAUUGUUAUGUUGCAUUUGUUUUUUUUAAUAUAUAUUGCGUUCCUAACUAUGUGAUUUAUUUAUUAGGAAAAACUAAAGGAUAAAAAGGCGGAGUACGAAGCGAUUGCUUCUAGUGAUAGUUCUGUUCAUCCUGAAGACAUUGACAAUCGGAUUAUUACUGAAGUUUUGGGUCCUGAAAGGUAUGGUCGGGUUCGAUUUCAAGGAUAUUUUGUUAGCCCAACCCAAUAUUUUGGAUCCAGCUCGCAGCAAUCACUACACCAAAACAGAUUUUUAGCGGCAUUUUUAGAGGCGGUUGGACAAAAAACACCGCUAAAGCUCGAGAAUUAGCGGCGAUUCCAUCAAAGCGCCGCUAAAAUUAAGAAUUAGCGGCGUUUUUGUACAACGCCGCCAAAAAAUAAGCCCAACGGCAUCGUUUUGUGACCUUUUCGGGCUUUAGUGGCGUUUUUGCGCUCGCGUCGCUAAAUACUCGGUGCCUAUAGUGGCGCGUGAAUGAUAAACGCCGCAGAGAUAUUAAAGCAGAACGCAGGGUUCGGUGUUGAUCAAUUGUUGCUUUAGCGGCACUAAUCUAGAAAAGCCGCCAAAGAUCAGUAUUAACGGCACUUAUAUAGUAAACGCCACAGAAAGUUAACCAAAAUGCAUCGUUUGACCUCGAGGUAUAGUGGCAUUUAGCAGCGCUUUAGUUACAACGCCACUAAAGAUCUUCAUUAGCGGCGAUUUCACCAUAGCGCCGCAAAAGAUGUUAAAACUAAACGCAGCGUUCGGUGUUCAUCAAUUGUGGCUUUAGCGGCGCAAACAUAAAAACACCGCUAAAAAUCGAUAUUAACGGCGCUUACCGGAUAAACGCCGCAGAAAGCUAACCAAAACGCAUCGUUUGGCCUUGAUGUAUGGUGGCAUUCAGCGACGCUUUUAACUGAACGCCACUAAAGAUCUUCAUUAACAGCGUUUUCGUUAAAACGCCGCCGAGUCUGUUAAAACUAAAUGCAGCGUUUGGUUUUAAUCAAUUGCGAUUCUAGCGGCGCUAAUAAAAAUCACCGCGAAAGAUCAGAAUUAACGGCGCUUAACGAAUAAACGCCGCAGAAAGUUAACCAAAACGCAUCGUUUGGCCUUGAUUUAUGGUGGCAUUUAGCGGCGCUUUAAACCGAACGCCACUAAAGAUCUUGAAAACGCCGCAAAAUAUGUUAAAACUAAACGCAGCGUUCGGUUUUGAUCAAUUCUGGAUUUCGCGGCGCUAAUUGAAAAACGCCGCUAAAGAUCUGUAUUAACGACAUUUAACUAGUAAACGCUUCAAAAAGUUAACCAAAACGCAUCGUUUGGCCGUGAGGUAUAGUGGCAUUUAGUGGUGCUUUGCCUAAAAACGCCACUAGAGAUGUUAAAACUAAAUGCAGCGUUCGUUGUUGAUCAUUGUGGCAUUCGCGGCGCUAACAUAAAAUUGCCGCUAAAUGUCGGUAUUAACAGCGCUUGACAAAAAAAUGCCGCAAGUAUUUAACCAAAGCGCAUCGUUUUGGCGGAGAGGUAUAUGGUCAUUAGUGGCGCUUUUAUUAAAAACACCACUAAAGAUCAUCAUUAGCGGCACACUUUUAUAAACGCCGCAACAACAGUAAGUAAAAUGACGUUGUUUUUGUUCUUUCGUGGCGUUUAAUUUAUAAACGCCGCAAUAAAAUUAUUGUAUUUUUCCAAUCUAGGAUUUAGAAUUUAAGAUUUAAUGUUAAUGGAUUAGAGUUUUAGGGUCUAUGAUAUACUGUUUAGGAUUUUGGGUUAGAAAUCUAAGAUUUGGGGUUUAAGGAUACUGUUUGAAAAUUAAAGAAUAACAUUUGGUAUUUACGGGAUUCAUGCGAUUUUGUACUACGUACACCGAUAUUAUAUAUUAAAUAUAAGAAUAUAAAUUAUAUAUUUCGUACUACACUAACAUUGGCCACACCCGAAUUUCCAGAGAUAUGGUUUAAGGUUUACAGUUUAUUUGAAGUUUAGGGUUUGGGUUUUAUGGUUUAAGGAUUUAGGGUAUAUUUGGGGAUUGUAUUUUGGGGUUUGGUAUAUAUUGUUGUUAAUUUGUGGUUUACGGGUUUAAUGUUAGUAGUUUAAGGUUUAAGAUUUAUGGUUAAGGUUUACGGCAUAUUGAGGACUUGGAUUUUAGGGUUUAGUAGUUUAGUGUUUUAUGGUUUAUGAGUUUUAUGUUUAUGGUUUAGGGUUUAGAGCUUACGAUUUACGAUUGAGGGUUUUGUGUUUAAUCUUGGAUUUUUAUUUAGAAUAUAAAUUAAUGUAAAUAAGAUUAUAAAUAUAAUCUAUUAUUUUUAAGGAAAAAAACAUCAAAAUGUGUUAAUCCCAAAAGCAUACAUGAACAAUAUUGGUUUAAUGUUCAAUUGUAUACAUUAACUUAUAAUUAAAUUGAUCCAUAUCUUGUAAAAUAUUAACACAAUUCUCUAUCAAAUUAACAUCAUUUUUAAUUUAUAUAUUGUUUUUAUACAUAAAUAUUUAUAUUUAUUCAAUAUAAAAAUAUAUUGAUUCGCACAUAUUUUUUAAAUUGUGUAUUUAUUUUAAAGGAUGCAUUAUUCUCUUUUAUUACAUAAUAUUUUCUAUUGUAGAUAUAAUUUUAAAUAAAUUAAAAACAUUUUUAAAAUUUGUUGAAUUUUGAAAUAUUUAUUAGGCAUUAGCGGCGUUUAUCUGAAACAAGCCGCAAAAGUAAUUUCAAUUUAGCACAAAAUGGCAUCGUAUUUUCUGGUUUUUGUAGUGGCAGUGGCGGUGCUUAGCAGAAACGCCGCAAUAGGUGUGGUAUUAGCGGCGCAAUUUGUGAAAACGCCGCAAACAUUAUUGAAGAGUUGGCAAAACAGCGUCGUUUUCGACAUGUUAUUAGCGGCGUUUUAUUUUAAAACGCCACAAAGUUUUGCAAACUGUUUUCGAAAUGACUUCGAUUUAGCUUAGAGAGGUUGCGUAACGACCGCAUUUUGUUUAGGGUUUACUGGCGUUUUACCUAUAAACGCCACAAAUGGAUUAAGUUGUAGACGAAAACGGCGUCGUUUACUCUCCAGCCAUAUGAUUCCCACACUAAAACCCGAAAUCCCAAAUUUUCCCCAUUUCCCCCAUUUCCAGAUUAAUUUCCAAUUAUCCCUAACCCCAAACCCUUUCAAUUUGCGCCAUUUGAAAAAUCGACCAUCACAUCCGCCGUUGUCUUUGUCCAGGCCGACCACCUGCUGCGCAAACAUCAGAAGCUCGAGCAUCUCCAUCACCGUUGGACUACUACGGCCGUCGUCAUCGGUUAGUUUCUAGUCGGGCAUUCAUGUGUCAUUUUAGAGAAUCCUGUCGAUGCACAAAUAAUGGGUUUUUGGCAUGCUAUAAUUCUCUUUGUUCCUUGCUGCUGCUUCUUGAUUUUAGCGGUUUCCUGGCUUGAUUUUCUUCAAUUUCUUGCUGAUUUUGAUUUUGUGUUAUGUGGUAUUUUGGGUGGCUGCUAAGAAAUGAGAUGAUAGACCAUUAUUUUGAACUUGAUAAUUUCUUUAAUCUUUAUUAGAGUUUGUUGAACAGAAUCAGUAAUAUUGGUGAAGAUUAUGUUAUGUUGUUAGCAGCAGUUUAUCAUCUAUUUAGUUGUAUAUAAAUUCAUUCUUCUGGAUCAAGCUAUUUGCUCAAUUUGUUAUAAGAAAUCAGAGUCUAUUGUUUUAAAGUUAUUGUGUUUUUUUGUGAGAUUCUUUCAAUUUUAAAAUCUAAAGAGCUUUGGGAUUGUUUUAAAGCAAUAACACCGAAACACUGGUAGAAACAAAGAGAAACGUUGAUGUGCUGGGAUUUGCUUUCAAAUAUAUAUAAAAGAAAUAAUAGUCUGUAAAGCUUGUUUUUGGGGGGGCUAAUAUAUAAAGCCUGUUGUUUUUUGCCUUUAAAUUUUCUUUUUUUGGUCAGUGUUUUUUUCCUUAAAAUUUAAGCUUGAAUUAUUUACAUGAGCAUUGAGCAGUCAUGAAGAUAGAAACCUUAAUAAUUUAUUAUUUAUUUACAGAAAAAUGCAAAGCUGUAAAUGUCUGUCCAAUAAUUUUUCCUGCUAGAACUUGGUGCCACUAACUAGCUGACAAUUCCUUCAAAACCCAAUCAUUCAUAUGUUUAUAUAUAUAGAUUUUACGUUGAUAAUUUUCCUUCUAGAACUUGAUAUGUCAAUCAAGAGCUUUAUAAUUAGUCUUCAAUUUAAUCGAAAAAGCUUGCGUACACAUAUUACUUCUGGCGUAAUAAACUUUUUGAAUACAUCAUCAUACAUAAGCUAAGAUGGAACAUAAUCAGUUAAAACAACACAAAUAUAUAUAUACGUAUUAGUCUUUUCUUUUUCCACCACCAAUUUGUUUUCAUUUGUACUGUUUUCAUUUCUACUUUUUCCUUUUAUUAAAAUUCUGGUUUGGUGUUUUUUGGGUACUAAUUUAGUUGUGUUUUUUGUUUCGCAGCCGUCUGCUCUGAUAUUUGGAAAAUUUGAGGUAUUUAUUCAUAUAUUUCCAUAGAUUGUUUUAUUAAAAAAACACCUCUAAAUUUUUAAAUUUCGUAUUUGGUUAUAUGUUUGCUUUUAUAGUUUACUUAUGAUUUUCGAGUUUUCAAAUGGGUUUUGAUUAAUAUUUUUGUUUUUAAACAAGUGGUAUCGGUUUUACAUGACCAAUUUUUGCGUUAUAUAUUUGUAUCCCAAUUUAUGCGUAAUUUUGCAGCCUAUUACAUAAUUUAAUAAUUCUAAAUCAUAAUUUUAUUUUCUCCCCAUAUUAUGUACCCAAGCAAAAGCAAUUACACAAAUUGAUCGAUUAGUUUAUUCGGUUUAAUGUGAAUUAUUUAUGGGUUUACGAUUUUAUGACAAUGAAUUAUCAAUUUUACUUCUAAUUUAAUAAAUUAUCGCCGUUAGAUGUGACUUGCAUACUUUAAUGUAUGUGUUUAAUUAUCUUUUAAAUACAAUAAAGUCAUCGAUUAAUUGAUUCAAUGUCAAUGAAUUACCCAUUUAUAAUACAUACAUUACAUAACUUAUUAAUAUAUUUAUGGAUAAAUGAUACAUAACUUACAUAACUUAUUAAUACAUAUCAUUUUUAAUACAUAACUUAUAUAAUACGACAUAACUUGUUAAUAUAUAUAUUUUAAAAUGAUACAUAACUUACAUAACUUAUUAAUACAUAACUUAUAUAAUACAUAACUUACAUAAUACGACAUAACUUAUUAAUAUAUUUAUGGAUAAAUGAUACAAAACUUACAUAACUUAUUAAUACUUAACAUUUUUAAUACAUAACUUACAUAAUACGACAUAACUUAUUAAUAUAUAUAUUUUAAAAUGAUACAUAACUUACAUAACUUAUUAAUACAUAACUUAUAUAAUACAUAACUUACAUAAUACGACAUAACUUAUUAAUAUAUUUAUGGAUAAAUGAUACAUNNNNNNNNNNNNNNNNNNNNNNNNNNNNNNNNNNNNNNNNNNNNNNNNNNNNNNNNNNNNNNNNNNNNNNNNNNNNNNNNNNNNNNNNNNNNNNNNNNNNNNNNNNNNNNNNNNNNNNNNNNNNNNNNNNNNNNNNNNNNNNNNNNNNNNNNNNNNNNNNNNNNNNNNNNNNNNNNNNNNNNNNNNNNNNNNNNNNNNNNNNNNNNNNNNNNNNNAAACUUUUUUGAAUUUUGCAUUUCAAUAAAUUAAAUAACUUACAUAACUUACAUAAAUUAAAUAAAUUACAUAACUUACAUUACAUAAUACAUAAAAAUAUAUCAUAUCACAAAUUUCUGUAUUUCAUUUAUGGUUAUAACUGGCGUUUUAACUUAUCCGUGCCAAUUAUUGUCAACGUCAGACUUCAAUAAUUAAGAAAUGGACCGGUCUUGGAUGAAUUUGUCAAGGGUUAGCAACGGUUAUCGAAAUAGAGUACAGUAUUUUCUAAAAUUUGCAUUUCAAUAUGCAAGCCAAGAGAACAUGAUUCUUUGCCCAUGUAAGAAGUGCGUCAACAUAAAUUGGCAUUAUCGUGAGGUUGUAUAUGAGCAUCUAAUUGUUGAUGGGUUUGUUCGGGGUUAUAAACAAUGAUUAUUUCAUGGAGAAUGCCCGUCUAGUACUUCCUUUUCAGCGAUGGAUGUAUCUUAUCCUGGUACUGCUUACCAUCAGUCUGAUAGAGGGGAUGACAUGGAAGGUAUGUUGCGGGAUGCAUUUAAUAUCCACAAUCAUGGUGUCCAGUCGUUCCCAGCGGACUUGGCAGCUUCUGAUGAUUGUAAUAUUGGGAGAAAUGCUUUUACCGAGCCGGGAAGUAGUGUACCUCAUGAAGAGCCGAAUGAAGAAGCGGCGAAGUUCUACACGCUACUUAAUGACAUGAACGAAGAACUGUAUGAGGGAUCAAAAUUUUCAAAAAUGUCUUUCUGUGUUCGUCUUUUUCAAUUAAAAUGUUUGGGAGGGUGGACUGGAAACUCUUUGACAAUGCUGUUAGAGUUUUUGAGAGAAAUGUUUUCCGUUUGCAAAAAUCUCUCAGUCAUGCAAAGAUAUGAAGAAAAUGAUAAAAGAUUUAGGCCUUGGGUACAACAAAAUCCAUAGUUUCCCAAAUGAUUGCAUGUUGUAUUGGGGUGAUCGAAAAAACCAACAGUGAUGUCAUGUAUGCGGUCAAUCCCGUUGGAUUAGUAGAAACACAGAAGAUGGGAAGGACGAUGAAAAUGAUGCACAGUCGAGAAAGAAGCCAGUCAAGAUUUUGCGGUAUUUUCCCCUGAUACCAAGGCUUCAAAGGCUUUUCACGUCGUCCAAGACAGCGGAGUCAAUGACGUGGCACCAUGAUGGACGAACCGAUGAUGGAUUACUAAGGUAUCCGGCAGAUUCUUUAGCUUGGAAAUCAUUUGACAAUAAAUUUCCAGGCUUUGCAAGCGAUCCUAGGAGUGUGAGGCUUGGGCUAGCAUCUGAUGGAUUUAAUCCUUUCAAGAUCAUGAGCACUGCGUAUAGUACUUGGCCAGUAGUGCUUGUUAUUUACAAUCUGCCUCCGUGGAUUUGCAUGAAGCAAUCUUCCCUUAUCUUAUCUAUGAUUAUCCCUGGUGAGAAAGGGCCCGGGAAUGAUAUCGACAUUUAUUUACAACCACUUAUUGAAGAGUUAAAACAAUUAUGGGCAGGUGUCGAGACAUAUGAUGUGCUGAGAAAGGUGAACUUUAAUUUACGUGCGGCUUUGAUGUGGACCAUUAAUGACUUUCCCGCUUAUGCCAAUUUAUCCGGUUGGAGUACCAAGGGUCGUUAUGCGUGUCCUUGUUGUGCUGCACAAACAUGUUCCUAAUGGUUGUACAAUGGGAAGAAGUUUUCUUACAUGGGGCAUCGUCGGCAGUUACCGGAAAAUCAUAGAUUUAGAUUUCAGAGUUCUGUAUUUGACGGCACUGAAGAGUUCAGAGAAGCUCCUUCCCAGACCAGUGGCUCUAAAAUCUUGUUCAUGUUGGAAGAUAUGAAUUUCAUUUAUGGGAAGAUGAACCAACCGCCAAACACGCAAAGAAAUAAAAGAUCAAAUGAUGAAGCUGAUGAUGACUCCGACGAAGAGGACAAUCCGAAUGAGGCGGACUUGUGGAAAAAAAGAAGUAUUUUUUUUUAGUUGCCUUAUUGGGAGCAUCACAUUUUACGACACAAUCUUGAUGUUAUGCACAUUGAGAAAAAUGUCUGCGGGAACAUUAUGGGUACAAUUUUGAAUGUCGACGGAAAAUCAAAAGACAAUCUUCAAAGUCGACUUGAUUUAGUCCAAAUGGGAAUUCGGCCUGAUCUUCAUCCCAAUCCACUUCCGAAUGGAAAAUAUCGGUUGCCGCCUUCUAUUUUCUCAAUGUCUAAGACGGAGAAAGAACUGUUUUGUAUGGUGCUGAAGGAUAUGAAGGUUCCAGAUGCGUAUGCAUCAAAUAUAUCUCGAUGUGUUAGUGUUAAAGAUCAAAGAUUAUAUUCGCUAAAAUCACAUGACUAUCACAUCUUGAUGCAAGAUUUACUGCCAAUUGCUCUACGGUGUUGUAUGCCCAAGAAGGUGACGUCUUGUAUCAUUGAACUAUCCAACAUAAUGAAAGCUAUUUGUGGCAAAUUUUUGGAUGUUCAAGAACUUCAGAAGUUACAGGAUCGAGCCGCUUUGACUUUAUGCAACAUGGAGAUUAUCUUCCCAUAUUCCUUCUUCACCAUUAUGGUUUACUUGAUAAUCCAUCUCCCGCACGAAGCAAUUCUUGGCGGACCCGUUUUCUAUCGAUGGAUGUAUCCCAUAGAAAGGUGUUAAUUAAAAUUUUUAAAAUUUUCCUUCAUUCACCUCUAUGCCUUUAGUUACAACUUUUGAUAAUGUUGUAUAUUGUGUUUAGGUUCCUAUCCAAAUUAAAGUCUUACUACCGCAACAAGCGAUAUCCAGAAGGAUCGAUUGCUGAAGGCUACUUGGCAGAGGAAUGUAUGACCUUCUGCUCAAGAUAUUUGGAAGAUGUCGAAACAAGGUUGAACAGACCAAAUAGGAAUGCUGGACUCACGGACUAUAACUUAGCCGACACUUAUUUGUUCCAAAGUUUUGGAGAACCAAUCGGCAAAGUUGAAAUUGCAGAAUUAGAACAUUUAUCGUGGGUACAAGCACAUCGAUAUGUUCUGUUUCACCACGAAUCAUUGGAACCUUUACGGAAGUAAGUUCUACAAAUUUUAUAAAUAUUUAUCAAACUAAAAAUUGUUUAUCUUCUAACAAAGAUCACAUUUUUUUAACAUAGUGAGUACAAACAAAUAUUGAGAUCUCGUUCGCGCUCCCGAAGAACACAACAUCGAGAUAUCAAUAAGUUGUUUACAGAAUCUUUUUAUGAAUGGUUAAGCCAAACGGUAUGCAGUUGGAGCUUCCGCUUACAAAUAAUAAUGCUUUCUCAUAACAUUUUUAAUUACUUAGUUUACUUUUCAUUCAAUAGGUUUGGAGUGGGAAGAACGUAAACGUCAAUUAAACAUUUAAGUGGUAAAUAAAGUUCUAAAUCCCAAAACAGUCCAAAAAAAUCACAGUAAUGGACAGACAAUAGAACGUGAGAAAAAAAAACGUGAAAAGUGGGAAACAAAACCUUUUAAUUUAAUUAAUAUUUUUUUAAAAUAAAAUAAAACAAAACAAAAAUAAAAUCCCACCGAACCCACUAAUCCAACGGCAUAAACAAAACAAAUUAUCGUCAUAUCACUCAUGAAGGGACUCAAACCUCAAACCUACUAAAACAGAUUCUGAAUUAUAUGACAAAAGUCUAACAAAUCAUCUAUAUGAAUUUAUGGAGUGUUACAUUUAAAUAUGAUUUUUUUUAUCAAAUAAUCUUAAUUUACCAAAAAUUCUUAUUCAUAAAUGCGAUAAAUCUUUAUAAAUAAAUUACAAAUUUAAUAAUAUAAUAAACCAUAAAAAAUGUAUUAGUCAGUUCAAAAGUUGUACUGAACUCGUGUUUUUAUAAAUAUAGAUAAUAUAAGAUUAUUAUAUUUAUGUAGUAAUAAGUUUUUGACAUCUUAUAAACUAAUAAUUAAACAUAUAUAAUUGUAACACGAUAGAAUUAUAUAGGGGAAGAGUGCGAAGUUUACUACAGGAGUUUUGCAUGAUUGCAUCUAUCUUUUUCUAUUGCUUUGAAUUGAGCUUGGUUUGGUCGACGUUUCCUAGUGGGUGAUCUUUCUAAUCCUAUAGUGGGAAUCAGCCAAUGUUGACUCCUUUUUUGUUGCUAUCUAGAUUUAAAGACCAAAGGUAACACGCUACCAAGGGGUUUGGAAAAUUUUCAAUCCAUGAAUGAAGCUACAGUUGUACGAUCUACUUCUAUAAAUGGACGACCUUCUUGAUAAUUUCAUCUACUCACAACUCUUUUUUUCUGUCCAACAAGUCUCUCCAAUGGUGGGUGAAGCAAAGUUGAUAGAAAAUAGGGUGGAAAAACCCGUCUCCACAGAUGGUUUAUUUCGUUUUAUUAAAUCAGUCAUUUCCGAUGAACAACAAGAAGAAACAGGCCCAUUUUACGUGCUGGAUUUGGGUGCUACGAGGUCCCUAGUCGAGACAUGGUUCCAUAAUCUUCCCAUGGUUCAACCUUUCUAUGCAGUCAAAUCCAACCCUAACCCCGCUUUCCUCAAAGAAAUGGCAGCUCUCGGCACCGGCUUUGACUGUGCAAGCCUUCCUGAGAUUGAAACCAUUUUAUCGCUUGGGGUUUCGCCUGAUCGAAUCGUUUUCGCAAACACAUGCAAACCCGAGUCUCACAUCAAGUAUGCAGCUAAAGUUGGCGUUAACUUAGCCACUUUCGACUCCAACUGUGAGCUCGAAAAGAUAAAGAAGUGGCA